UCAAAAACAUAGCCUUUAGCCCCACAAGUAUUAAAGGUCCCGCCUGCCCAGUGACUCUUUAAACGGCCGCGGUAUCCUAACCGUGCAAAGGUAGCAUAAUCACUUGUCCCCUAAAUAGGGACUGGAAUGAACGGCUAAAUGAGGAUUAAACUGUCUCUUGCGAGCCGGUCAAUGAAUUUGAUUUUCCAGUUCAAAAGCUGGAAUAAACACAUAAGACGAGAAGACCCUGUGGAGCUUCAAAACCUAGUUCACCAAAUAAUGCUUCCUUCGGUUUUUAGUUGGGGCGACUUCGGAGCACAAAAAAACCUCCAAAACAUGUAAACCCAUUAUAUUAAGAUCAACAAACCACAAAACCACAAGAUCCAGCAACAGCCCUUAAUGUUGUCUGACCAAUGAACCAAGUUACCCCAGGGAUAACAGCGCCAUCCCCUUCUAGAGUCCCUAUCGACAAGGGGGUUUACGACCUCGAUGUUGGAUCAGGACACCCCAAUGGUGCAGCCGCCACUAAAGGUUCGUUUGUUCAACGAUUAAAGUCCUA
rnacentral:rRNA from 1 species